rnacentral:rRNA from 1 species
GUAGGGAAUAUUGGGCAAUGGUCGGAAGACUGACCCAGCCAUGCCGCGUGCAGGAAGACGGCCCUCUGGGUUGUAAACUGCUUUUAUCUGGGAAGAAAAAGGCCAUGCGUGGCAAAUUGCCGGUACCAGAUGAAUAAGCACCGGCUAACUCCGUGCCAGCAGCCGCGGUAAUACGGAGGGUGCGAGCGGUGUCCGGAUUUAUUGGGUUUAAAGGGUGCGUAGGCGGCUGAUUAAGUCAGCGGUGAAAGACUUCGGCUUAACCGGGGCAGUGCCGUUGAUACUGGUUGGCUUGAGUGUCGGAGGGGUACAUGGAAUUGAUGGUGUAGCGGUGAAAUGCAUAGAUACCAUCAGGACCACCGUUAGCGACAGCAUUGUACUGGCCGACAACUGACGCUGAUGCACGAAAGUGUGGGGAUCGAACAGGAUUAGAAACCCCAGUAGUCC